rnacentral:rRNA from 1 species
ACGCACGCUGGCGGCGUGCUUCACCCAUGCAAGUCGAACGGAAAGGCCCUGCUUUUGUGGGGUGCUCGAGUGGCGAACGGGUGAGUAACACGUGAGUAACCUGCCCUUGACUUUGGGAUAACUUCAGGAAACUGGGGCUAAUACCGGAUAGGAGCUCCUGCUGCAUGGUGGGGGUUGGAAAGUUUCGGCGGUUGGGGAUGGACUCGCGGCUUAUCAGCUUGUUGGUGGGGUAGUGGCUUACCAAGGCUUUGACGGGUAGCCGGCCUGAGAGGGUGACCGGCCACAUUGGGACUGAGAUACGGCCCAGACUCCUACGGGAGGCAGCAGUGGGGAAUAUUGCACAAUGGGCGGAAGCCUGAUGCAGCAACGCCGCGUGCGGGAUGACGGCCUUCGGGUUGUAAACCGCUUUCGCCUGUGACGAAGCGUGAGUGACGGUAAUGGGUAAAGAAGCACCGGCUAACUACGUG